rnacentral:rRNA from 1 species
GUCCUGGUGUCUUCAGCGCAGUGGAACCACACCAAUCCAUCUCGAACUUGGUGGUGAAACGCUGUGGCGGCUACGAUACUCGAGGGGGGGCCCUUGGGGACAAUCGCUCGAUGCCAGGAC